AAAUUGAAGAGUUUGAUCAUGGCUCAGAUUGAACGCUGGCGGCAGGCCUAACACAUGCAAGUCGAACGGUAACAGGAAGCAGCUUGCUGUUUCGCUGACGAGUGGCGGACGGGUGAGUAAUGUCUGGGAAACUGCCUGAUGGAGGGGGAUAACUACUGGAAACGGUAGCUAAUACCGCAUAACGUCGCAAGACCAAAGAGGGGGACCCUCGGGCCUCUUGCCAUCGGAUGUGCCCAGAUGGGAUUAGCUUGUUGGUGGGGUAACGGCUCACCAAGGCGACGAUCCCUAGCUGGUCUGAGAGGAUGACCAGCCACACUGGAACUGAGACACGGUCCAGACUCCUACGGGAGGCAGCAGUGGGGAAUAUUGCACAAUGGGCGCAAGCCUGAUGCAGCCAUGCCGCGUGUAUGAAGAAGGCCUUCGGGUUGUAAAGUACUUUCAGC
rnacentral:rRNA from 1 species